GUCCACGCCGUAAACGAUGAAUGCUAGGUGUAGGAGGUAUCGACCCCUCCUGUGCCGGAGUUAACGCAAUAAGCAUUCCGCCUGGGGAGUACGGCCGCAAGGCUGAAAACUCAAAGGAAUUGACGGGGGCCCGCACAAGCGGUGGAGUAUGUGGUUUAAUUCGACGCAACGCGAAGAACCUUACCAGGGCUUGACAUUGAGUGAAAGGGCUAGAGAUAGUUCCCUCUCUUCGGAGACACGAAAACAGGUGGUGCAUGGCUGUCGU
rnacentral:rRNA from 1 species